rnacentral:rRNA from 1 species
GACGAACGCUGGCGGCGUGCUUAACACAUGCAAGUCGAACGGAAAGGCCCUGCUUUUGUGGGGUGCUCGAGUGGCGAACGGGUGAGUAACACGUGAGUAACCUGCCCCUGACUUUGGGAUAACUUCAGGAAACUGGGGCUAAUACCGGAUAGGAGCUCUUGCUGCAUGGUGGGGGUUGGAAAGUUUCGGCGGUUGGGGAUGGACUCGCGGCUUAUCAGCUUGUUGGUGGGGUAGUGGCUUACCAAGGCUUUGACGGGUAGCCGGCCUGAGAGGGUGACCGGCCACAUUGGGACUGAGAUACGGCCCAGACUCCUACGGGCGGCCACAGUGGGGAAUCUUGCACCAUGGGCGGAAGCCUGAUGCAGCAACGCCGCGUGCGGGAUAACGGCCUUCGGGUUGUAAACCGCUUUCGCCUGUGACGAAGCGUGAGUGACGGUAAUGGGUAAAGAAGCACCGGCUAACUACGUG